UACGUAGGGGGCAAGCGUUGUCCGGAUUUAUUGGGCGUAAAGAGCGUGUAGGCGGCCAGGUAGGUCUGCUGUGAAAACUCGAGGCUCAACCUCGAGCUGUCGGCGGAAACCAUCUGGCUAGAGUCCGGAAGAGGAGAGUGGAAUUCCCGGUGUAGCGGUGAAAUGCGUAGAUAUUGGGAAGAACACCGGUGGCGAAGGCGGCCAUCUGGACCGGAACUGACGCUGAGGCGCGAAAGCCAGGGGAGCGAAUGGG
rnacentral:rRNA from 1 species